UUGCUGUGAUGAUUUAUUAUGGUUUCGCUAUAUUGCUGAUGAAUAUGACGACACCACCUUGGCUGUCUGAGCAA